rnacentral:rRNA from 1 species
AGCGAACGCUGGCGGCAUGCCUAACACAUGCAAGUCGCACGGGGGGGCUUCGGCCUCCCAGUGGCGGACGGGUGAGGAACGCGUAGGGACCUGUCGAGGGGUGGGGGAUAACCGCGGGAAACUGCGGCUAAUACCGCAUGACGCCGCGGCGUGACAGCCGGGGCCAAAGGCGAAAGCCGCCCGCCGAGGGGCCUGCGUCCGAUUAGCUGGUUGGCGGGGUAGCGGCCCACCAAGGCGUCGAUCGGUAGCUGGUCUGAGAGGGUGAUCAGCCACACCGGGACUGAGACACGGCCCGGACUCCUACGGGAGGGAGCAGUGGGGAAUAUUGGACAAUGGGCGCAAGCCUGAUCCAGCAAUGCCGCGUGGGUGAAGAAGGUCUUCGGAUUGUAAAGCCCUUUCGGCGGGGACGAUGGUGACGGUACCCGCAGAAGAAGCCCCGGCUAACUUCGUG